GACGAACGCUGGCGGCGUGCUUAACACAUGCAAGUCGAACGGAAAGGCCCUGCUUUUGUGGGGUGCUCGAGUGGCGAACGGGUGAGUAACACGUGAGUAACCUGCCCUUGACUUUGGGAUAACUUCAGGAAACUGGGGCUAAUACCGGGUAGGAGCUCCUGCUGCAUGGUGGGGGUUGGAAAGUUUCGGCGGUUGGGGAUGGACUCGCGGCUUAUCAGCUUGUUGGUGGGGUAGUGGCUUACCAAGGCUUUGACGGGUAGCCGGCCUGAGAGGGUGACCGGCCACAUUGGGACUGAGAUACGGCCCAGACUCCUACGGGAGGCAGCAGUGGGGAAUAUUGCACAAUGGGCGGAAGCCUGAUGCAGCAACGCCGCGUGCGGGAUAACGGCCUUCGGGUUGUAAACCGCUUUCGCCUGUGACGAAGCGUGAGUGACGGUAAUGGGUAAAGAAGCACCGGCUAACUACGUG
rnacentral:rRNA from 1 species